rnacentral:sRNA from 1 species
UUGAGAGUCCUGGAGAAGAAAAUCCUCUGAUUCUCCAGAGAACAGGUAUGACAUGGGCUAUGGCAGUGAGGGCUUCCCCACAUUGCUCAAUGAAUAUGUACCUACCUUGAUCUGGAGGUACUAUCUGUGUAGGCGAGAAGAUAGUUCACUCACUGUUCCCUUUCAGUCCUUGGUCUUG